rnacentral:rRNA from 1 species
UCGAGAAUCUUCGGCAAUGGGCGAAAGCCCGACCGAGCGACGCCGCGUGGAGGACGAAGGCCUUCGGGUUGUAAACUCCUGUCGAGGGGGAACAAGGGGCGGUGAAGAAUCGUCCUUGAGUGAUCCCUGGAGGAAGCACGGGCUAAGUUCGUGCCAGCAGCCGCGGUAAGACGAACCGUGCGAACGUUAUUCGGAAUCACUGGGCCUAAAGCGCGCGUAGGCGGGUCGGCGCGUCGGAUGCUGAAAGCCCCCGGCUCAACCGGGGAAGUGGCACCGAAACGGCCGGCCUGGAGUGGGGUAGGGGGAGCCGGAACUUCCGGUGGAGCGGUGAAAUGCGUUGAGAUCGGAAGGAACGCCCGUGGCGAAAGCGGGCUCCUGGACCCCAACUGACGCUGAGGCGCGAAAGCCAGGGGAGCGAACG